rnacentral:rRNA from 1 species
GACGAACGCUGGCGGCGUGCCUAAUACAUGCAAGUUGAGCGAUGAAGAUUGGUGCUUGCACCAAUUUGAAGAGCAGCGAACGGGUGAGUAACGCGUGGGGAAUCUGCCUUUGAGCGGGGGACAACAUUUGGAAACGAAUGCUAAUACCGCAUAACAACUUUAAACAUAAGCUUUAAGUUUGAAAGAUGCAAUUGCAUCACUCAAAGAUGAUCCCGCGUUGUAUUAGCUAGUUGGUGAGGUAAAGGCUCACCAAGGCGAUGAUACAUAGCCGACCUGAGAGGGUGAUCGGCCACAUUGGGACUGAGACACGGCCCAAAAUCCUACGGGAGGCAGCAGUAGGGAAUCUUCGGCAAUGGACGAAAGUCUGACCGAGCAACGCUGCGUGAGUGAAGAAGGUUUUCGGAUCGUAAAACUCUGUUGGUAGAGAAGAACGUUGGUGAGAGUGGAAAGCUCAUCAAGUGACGGUAACUACCCAGAAAGGGACGGCUAACUACGUG